rnacentral:rRNA from 1 species
UACAGAGGUCCCGAGCGUUGUUCGGAUUCAUUGGGCGUAAAGGGCGCGUAGGUGGCGCCGUAAGUGGGGUGUGAAAUCCCGGGGCUUAACCCCGGGACUGCAUUCCAUACUGCGGUGCUUGAGGACUGGAGAGGAGACUGGAAUUUACGGUGUAGCAGUGAAAUGCGUAGAGAUCGUAAGGAAGACCAGUGGCGAAGGCGGGUCUCUGGACAGUUCCUGACACUGAGGCACGAAGGCCAGGGGAGCAAACGGG